AUGCCGCCCGCGCCCAGCUUGGUCAGGAUGGAGUUCACCGGUCCGCUGGACGGAUCCAGGACGAAGCGCAUCACCACGCCGAUGAUCGCCGUCGUGGUCACGACCGGGAUGAAGAACGCAG
rnacentral:misc_RNA from 1 species